rnacentral:rRNA from 1 species
GACGAACGCUGGCGGCGUGCCUAAUACAUGCGAGUUGAGCGCUGAAGGUUGGUACUUGUACCGACUGGAUGAGCAGCGAACGGGUGAGUAACGCGUGGGGAAUCUGCCUUUGAGCGGGGGACAACAUUUGGAAACGAAUGCUAAUACCGCAUAAAAACUUUAAACACAAGUUUUAAGUUUGAAAGAUGCAAUUGCAUCACUCAAAGAUGAUCCCGCGUUGUAUUAGCUAGUUGGGGAGGUAAAGGCUCCCCAAGGCGAUGAUACAUAGCCGACCUGAGAGGGUGAUCGGCCACAUUGGGACUGAGACACGGCCCAAACUCCUACGGGAGGCAGCAGUAGGGAAUCUUCGGCAAUGGACGAAAGUCUGACCGAGCAACGCCGCGUGAGUGAAGAAGGGUUUCGGAUCGUAAAACUCUGUUGGUAGAGAAGAACGUUGGUGAGAGUGGAAAGCUCAUCAAGUGACGGUAACUACCCAGAAAGGGACGGCUAACUACGUG